GGAGAAAUGGCCGUUGUCGUCUACUGGAGUAGGGCUACUUGAUUAACCUCGAGUACGAUCAAUGGAGUAGUAUUCGCUGAAGUACGGAAACGAUUCCUUCCGGAAGGGACCACGAGGACGUCGUCGAGAGACACUAUUUCACGGGUCCGAGAUUUAUUUGGCUUCCUGAGAUAAACUCUGCUCCCCAACACGAGCAAUUUAUGUAGGAUGGACGUAGGUAUACUAUAAGGUGGUAAGGAGUCAAGGAAGAUACAGUGACAUCCGGAACGAGCCAGGAUGUACGAUUCGAAUCGGGCUCCGAUUCGUUAUCGAGCAACUCGAGGCUGAGAAACGAAUGGUGGGAUCAACGAAAAGCGGCAUAACUUGCCACAUACUAAUAUCCGAAGGAUCCCAGGACUUUGAAACGCGAGGAUAAAAAGCAAGGACGGAGCCCGCCGAUGAAGCUGACUCUAUCAUAAUUCUGGCAUCGAUCAUUCGCAAAAGAGUCGCCCGCGAAAUUGCCAUUCGUCCACACACGCUCGCAAAAAAUCUAGC